UUUUUUUUACAUUGAGAAAAAUCCAUUAAUUACUUUAAAAUGCAGCAAGUUUAAGAAAAAAAAAGGAAAUACAUCAGAUGGGUAGAUAGAUUCUUAACAAAGUUGUAAUCUAUGUAAUUGUCAUACUCUCCAUGGGAAAACAUGACUUUUUCAAAGUCAAUCAUUUCUCAAUCUGCCAUUAGAAUAAGGCAAAAAAAAGAAAUCAUUUUUAUUAUAAGUGAAGUAAUACAGCAUUAUUUAAAAACAUAGACCCACAAUAACCGAUUAGAUAUUUUUUUAUGUGUCGUGACAUGAAAACAUGUCAUUUAUUUUUAGAAUUUUAGAAUCUAUGCCAGACAGCUCCCCUGACUGCAGAAAGGAGGAACAGAAACAUAGGUUUCUAUUCCUAUUGGACACCUCAAUUAAGGACACAGGUUAUGAAGAUUAACUGGCCUUCCCUCAUGUUUCUGUCCUUUUAUUCCAUAGAAUGAGUGUUCU
rnacentral:lncRNA from 1 species